rnacentral:rRNA from 1 species
CUUUGGAAUUUGACUCCUUUGUGUGUGGUGCUACACACACACAGUGGCCAACACUGCUGGUCUCAAAAGCCAAGCAAGGUUGGAUCUGGCUAGUACUUGGAUAGGAGACUAUCAGGAAAUCCCAGGAGUCCAGAUU